CACGUAGGGGCCAAGCGUUGUCCGGAUUUAUUGGGCGUAAAGAGCUCGUAGGCGGCUCGGUAAGUCGGGUGUGAAACCUCCAGGCUCAACCUGGAGACGCCACCUGAUACUGCUGUGGCUAGAGUCCGGUAGGGGAGCGUGGAGUUCCUGGUGUAGCGGUGAAAUGCGCAGAUAUCAGGAGGAACACCAGCGGCGAAGGCGGCGCUCUGGGCCGGAACUGACGCUGAGGAGCGAAAGCGUGGGUAGCAAACAGG
rnacentral:rRNA from 1 species